GUUAUUAAUGAACUGCUGGAUGAGUUGUCAGGAGCUGCUUGGUUUACUAAACUGGAUUUAAGAGCAGGUUAUCAUCAGAUACGUCUAGCCCCACGAGAGGAAUACAAAACUGCUUUUCAAACCCAUGAUGGUCAUUAUGAAUUCACUGUGUUGGCCAUGGGGCUUGCUGGAGGACCUGGCACCUUCCAAGGGGCCAUGAAUACUACACUCACUCCUACUAACAGGAAAACCACUCUCUGUUUCUUUGAUGAUAUAAUGGUAUUCAGCAAAACAUAUGCAGAACAUUUGACACAUGUCAGAGAGGUCCUUUGUCUUUUGAGGGCUGACCAGUGGAAGGUUAAACUCACUAAAUGUGCUUUUGCCCAA
rnacentral:rRNA from 1 species